GACGAACGCUGGCGGCGUGCUUAACACAUGCAAGUCGAACGAAGUGGCGAACGGGUGAGUAACGCGUAAUCAACCUGCCCUUCAGACGGGGAAAACAGUUGGAAACGACUCCUAAUACCGCAUACUGAAGGACGGGAUUGCGUCUGAUUAGCUAGUUGGAGGGGUAACGGCCCACCAAGUCGAUGCGCAGUAGCCUGUCUGAUAGGAUGAACGGCCACAAUGGGACUGAGACACGGGCCAGACUCCUACGGGAAGCAGCAGUGGGGAAUCUUCCGCAAUGGAAGAAAUGCUGACGGAGCAACGCCGCGUGAGUGAUGACGGCCUUAGGGUUGUAAAGCUCUGUUAAUCGGGACGCGGUACCGGAAUAGAAAGCCACGGCUAACUACGUGCCAGCAGCCGCGGUAAUUC
rnacentral:rRNA from 1 species